rnacentral:rRNA from 1 species
GACGAACGCUGGCGGCGUGCUUAACACAUGCAAGUCGAACGGAAAGGCCCUGCUUGCAGGGUGCUCGAGUGGCGAACGGGUGAGUAACACGUGGGUGAUCUGCCCCUUACUUUGGGAUAAGCCCGGGAAACUGGGUCUAAUACUGGAUAGGACCAUGCUGUAGGUGGUGUGGUGGAAGGAUUAGUUUCGGUAAGGGAUGAGCUCGCGGCCUAUCAGCUUGUUGGUGGGGUAAUGGCCUACCAAGGCGUCGACGGGUAGCCGGCCUGAGAGGGUGGACGGCCACAUUGGGACUGAGAUACGGCCCAGACUCCUACGGGAGGCAGCAGUGGGGAAUAUUGCACAAUGGGCGCAAGCCUGAUGCAGCGACGCCGCGUGGGGGAUGACGGCCUUCGGGUUGUAAACUCCUUUCAGCCAUGACGAAGCCCUUGUGGUGACGGUAGUGGUAGAAGAAGCACCGGCUAACUACGUG